GACCAGCAGAUCUGUUUUCACUGUCUCAAGGCACACAGCCGCAAACACGGCCCAUCCCGAGCUCCCCGUGCACAUCUUUCCUGUUGGAGAAACCAGGACAGAGAUCAGCAUUUCUGUCCCAGUUCCAAACUCCCCAGAGAGAUUCUGAUCUGCCCAUUUUAGGUCAGGGGAUAGUCUUCACUCUAGAGCUCCUAAGAUAACAGAGACUGGAGUAACGGGCAUUGCAGAACUGAUUUUAUAAAGGAAUAACGUGUACCAUAUAUAUUGCUAGUUAAAAGCAUGUAUUACUGUUGAGUUCUACCUCCUCAGAAGCCUAGAAGGUUUCCUUCCUUGGAGGGUGAAGAAGCAGUAACAGACAGGCGUUCUGCAUCAGACCCCUCUCUCUGGGCACCUAGAACACUUCCAGUUGACGUCUGCUUCAAGAGGAGGUCACUAAAAGUGCUCCUACACGACGCAGCAGACACUCCGCUGGUCCCAGUGCCCUCUCCAAGCCCUUCCAGAUGGUGAAUUGUUAAGAUUCUAAAAUGGAGUAAAUGAUCUGCAGAAAUUCAGUGGUCUCAAAGGAGCCAGUCCAAAGUCACUCGGCUUUAAAACGCUGCGAUUCUAUGAUUGCAAUGAUGCCCAGGAACACAACGCGGCACGACAGACCCAGAGGCUGGAUGUUGCAGAAGAAACUUUUCUCUCUUUUCCUUUCCUCUGAGCAUUCUUCUGUAUCUCCUGCACAUGACAGCAAACAACUGAUUGGGGACUCAAGAUGGCGCUGUGAGAACAACCCAGGAUUGGAGCUCUCGUUGUGUCCGCCGAGAGGGACAUGGAUGAAUCUGGAGAACAUCAUCCUCAGCAAACUGACACAAGAACAGAAAAUGAAACACCGCAUAUUCUCACUCAUAGUUCAUCGGCAUCUCAUUAUUGGGCCACAAGAAGUAGCAUCCCUACCCUCAGUUUGGUCUGGGAACAAAAUUUGGUGUGCCAGCCAAGAGAGACCAGGAUGGUGCUACGUUCACUGGCCAGUGGCUUGUGUGAAUGUUCAGGAGCAUCCCAGCAGUUGCCUGUGA
rnacentral:lncRNA from 13 species